AUUGAACGCUGGCGGCAUGCUUUACACAUGCAAGUCGAACGGCAGCGCGGGCUUCGGCCUGGCGGCGCGUGGCCAACGGGUGAGUAAUGCAUCCGUACGUGCCCUGUCGUGGGGGAUAGCCCGGCUAAAGCCGGAUUAAUACCGCAUCCGAUCUGAGGGUGAACGCGGGGGACCGAAAGGCCUCGCGCUAUUUGAUCUGCCGAUGUCGGAUUAGCUAGUUGGUUGGGUAAAGGCUUACCAAGGCGACGAUCCGUAGCUGGUCUGAGAGGCCGACCAGCCACACUGGAACUGAGACACGGCCCAGACUCCUACGGGAGGCAGCAGUAGGGAAUUUUGCGCAAUGGGGGAAAGCCUGACGGAGCAAUGCCGCGUGAGUGAUGAAGGCCUUCGGGUUGUAAACCGCUUUUGUUCGGGAAGAAAACCUGUGGGAGAAAACCCGGGGGGGAUGACGGUACCGGAAGAGAAAGCACCGGCUAACUACGUG
rnacentral:rRNA from 1 species